AUUGAACGCUGGCGGCAUGCCUUACACAUGCAAGUCGAACGGUAACAGGUCUUCGGAUGCUGACGAGUGGCGAACGGGUGAGUAAUACAUCGGAACGUGCCUAGUAGUGGGGGAUAACUACUCGAAAGAGUGGCUAAUACCGCAUGAGAUCUACGGAUGAAGGCAGGGGAUCGCAAGACCUUGUGCUACUAGAGCGGCCGAUGGCAGAUUAGGUAGUUGGUGGGAUAAAAGCUUACCAAGCCGACGAUCUGUAGCUGGUCUGAGAGGACGAUCAGCCACGCUGGGACUGAGACACGGCCCAGACUCCUACGGGAGGCAGCAGUGGGGGAAUUUUGGACAAUGGGCGCAAGCCUGAUCCAGCAAUGCCGCGUGCAGGAUGAAGGCCUUCGGGUUGUAAACUGCUUUUGUACGGAACGAAAAGCCCCGGGUUAAUACCCUGGGGUCAUGACGGUACCGUAAGAAUAAGCACCGGCUAACUACGUGCCAGCCGCCGCGGUAA
rnacentral:rRNA from 1 species